GUAGUCCAUGCCGUAAACGAUGAGUGCUAAGUGUUAGGGGGUUUCCGCCCCUUAGUGCUGGAGCAAACGCAUUAAGCACUCCGCCUGGGGAGUACGGUCGCAAGACUGAAACUCAAAGGAAUUGACGGGGACCCGCACAAGCGGUGGAGCAUGUGGUUUAAUUCGACGCUACGCGAAGAACCUUACCAGGUCUUGACAUCCCACUGACCGGUAUAGAGAUAUACCUUUCCCUUCGGGGACAGUGGUGACAGGUGGUGCAUGGUUGUCGUCAGCUCGUGUCGUGAGAUGUUGGGUUAAGUCCCGUAACGAGCGCAACCCUUGACCUUAGUUGCCAGCAUUUAGUUGGGCACUCUAAGGUGACUGCCGGUGAUAAACCGGA
rnacentral:rRNA from 1 species